UUAUAAGUCAAUUGAGGCUGAAGAUUGGGAAGCAGCUACCAUUGGAGAAGAGAUGAGUAAAAUGGAGUCUCUUCUUCUCGAUAAAAAUAGGAAAAUGGAACAUGAACUCACACAGCUGAAGGUCAAACUUUCCGAGAAAACAUCUUGGCUGGAAACAGCUGAAGGCAAAAUAGUAUAACUCACGGAAAAGGUUCAUGAACAACAGAAGCUGAUAUAGAAAUUAGAAGAUGAUAUAUUGAAGGGUUAUAGUUCCAAAGAAAGGAAUGGGACUCUUUUUGAUGAUUGGGAUCUUUCUGAGAGUGGAGGGAAUGAAAUUUCCGAGAGCGCACAUCACAAACAAGUUUCCUCAGAUCAAGACCAAAGCUCAAUGCUGAAGGUGAUAUGCAAUCAGCGUGAUCGGUUUAGGGCACGAUUGCGGGAAACUGAGGAAGAAAUAAGGCAAUUAAAGGGGAAGAUAGGGAUGCUAACCACAGAACUGGAGAAAACAAAAGCUGAUAAUAUUAAACUU